GACGAACGCUGGCGGCGUGCUUAACACAUGCAAGUCGAACGGAAAGGCCCUGCUUUUGUGGGGUGCUCGAGUGGCGAACGGGUGAGUAACACGUGAGUAACCUGCCCUUGACUUUGGGAUAACUUCAGGAAACUGGGGCUAAUACCGGAUAGGAGCUCCUGCUGCAUGGUGGGGGUUGGAAAGUUUCGGCGGUUGGGGAUGGACUCGCGGCUUAUCAGCUUGUUGGUGGGGUAGUGGCUUACCAAGGCUUUGGCGGGUAGCCGGCCUGAGAGGGUGAACGGCCACCUUGGGACUGAGAGACGGCGCAGACUCCUACGGGAGGCAGCAGUGGGGAAUAUUGCACAAUGGGCGGGAGCCUGAUGAAGCAACGCCGCGUGCGGGAUGACGGCCUUCGGGUUGUAAACCGCUUUAGCCUGUGACGAAGCGUGAGUGACGGUAAUGGGUAAAGAAGCACCGGCUAACUACGUG
rnacentral:rRNA from 1 species